UAUUAUUCAUAAUGAUAUAUUAUUAUCUGGGUAGUAAUAGUUAAGUUCUUGAAACCCAAAGAAUUUGGCGGUAUUUUAGUCUUUUCAGGGGAAUCUGUUCCGUAAUUGAUGAUACACGAUUUGUUAUACUUGAUUUUGUUAUCAGUUUGUAUAUCGCCGUCGUAAGAUUAUUUUUUUUUUGAGAAUUAUUAAUUUUCUUUGAAUUUUAUUAAAUUUUAUGUCAGGUCAAGGUGCAGCUUAUAGUUGAGUGGAAAUGGAUUACAAUAAUAUGAAUUAUAUGAAUAAUUAUUUAAAGUUAAUUUGAAGGUGGAUUUGAUUGUAAAUUUAUCUUAAUUCUUAUUUUGAUUUUGGCUCUAAAAUGUGUACAUAUCGCCCGUCGCUCUCGUUUUUUAAAGUGAG
rnacentral:rRNA from 1 species